GGCGUUGGCCUCCGCGGCCCGUGCGAGUGCGCCCUUCUCGGGUCCCCUAGGUCGCGGGGCAGCCGGGGCGGAAGGGGCUUGUUCAUUAUUUUGAGAGUUUGUUGUGAACGUCAUAACCUUUCGUCCUUAAAUAUUGCCGAUACUUGACCUACGCAAGAGACAAUGUCAUGUGAUUCAGCCUAAUAUCUCAGAGGAUGCAGCAUUCAAGGUUCUAUCUUGGAAGCAGAGACUGUGCCCUCACCAGAUGCUGAACCUGCUGAGCACCCUGAUCUUCCACUUCACCUUCAUCAGAACUGGACGCGCAUGAAAUUUGGUGCCGUGACUCGGAUCGGCGGACCUCCCUUAGGAGAUCAAUCCCCUGUCCUCCUGCUCUUUGCUCCAUGAGAAAGAUCCACCUACGACCUAAGGUCCUCAGACCAACCAGCCCAAGAAACAUCUCACCAAUUUCAAAUCCGAAAUCCUUCAUCUAAUCUGGCAAACACAUGUGGCAGGUUUUUCUCACCGCAUAAAAUAUGUUAUAGAGUAGUCCAUCUAUUUCUCUUCCAUGGAAGAGUUCAUCUGGUAGAUUGGACUACCACUUUUCCUUGAAGAGGAAGAAGAAGAGGGAGGAAGGAGAGAAAAAAGGAAGGAAGGAAAGAAGAAAAGAAAAAAGAAUGAGAGAGAGAGAACAAAAGCAUCACCAAUAAGUGACGCUAGGAGCUAGCCCAAUGCAGAAGAAUGAAAUUGGACCCUUUUCUUUCACCAUAUACAAAAACUCACUCAAGAUGGGUGAAAGACUUAAAUGUAAAACCUAAAACUGUAAAAACCCUAGGAAACCUACGAAAUGUCAUUCUGGAUAUAGACCCUGGCAAGGAUUUCAUGAUAAAGACUCCAAAAGCAAUUGCAACAGAAACAAAAAUUGACAAGUAGAAUAUAAUUAAAGAGCUUCUGCACAGCAAAAUAAACAAUCAAAA
rnacentral:lncRNA from 1 species